rnacentral:lncRNA from 1 species
UCUAGAUUAUGGAUCUUCAGAUAAAUUCUGCCAUUUUCAUUUAACUUCCUGAAAGUCAGGGUCGGCUUGUGAAAAGUUGUUAAACAACAUGCUAAAUGUGAAAUGUCAACCCUCACUCUAAACUUUCCCUGUUCAGAGCAUCAGAUGAAGACUUCAUUGGGUUUUAUAGUGGCUUUCUGAUUUUUGGUAGUCCAUUGAAGAAGGGAGUUUGAAAGUUGUUGUAUACUGUUAACGAUUGUCUGCCCAUGUCCUGCCUGAAAUACCAUGAUUGUUUAUGGAAAGUAUCUUUAAUAAAGCUGGAUACAGUUUGGCUUGGGA